CCUCCUUUUUGCUGCCGUGAGGAAUAUUGGUCAAUGGGCGUAAGCCUGAACCAGCCAAGUCGCGUGAGGGAUGAAGGUUCUAUGGAUCGUAAACCUCUUUUAUAAGGGAAUAAAGUGUGGGACGUGUCCUAUUUUGUAUGUACCUUAUGAAUAAGGAUCGGCUAACUCCGUGCCAGCAGCCGCGGUAAUACGGAGGAUCCGAGCGUUAUCCGGAUUUAUUGGGUUUAAAGGGUGCGUAGGCGGCCUUUUAAGUCAGCGGUGAAAGUCUGUGGCUCAACCAUAGAAUUGCCGUUGAAACUGGGGGGCUAGAGUAUGUGUGAGGCAGGCGGAAUGCGUGGUGUAGCGGUGAAAUGCUUAGAUAUCACGCAGAACCCCGAUUGCGAAGGCAGCCUGCCAAGCCAUGACUGACGCUGAUGCACGAAAGCGUGGGGAUCAAACAGGAUUAGAUACCCCUGUAGUC
rnacentral:rRNA from 1 species